rnacentral:rRNA from 1 species
GACGCCCGCUUUCUCCGUUCUUAACACAUGCAAGUCGAGCGGUAAGGCCCUUCGGGGUACACGAGCGGCGAACGGGUGAGUAACACGUGAGUAAUCUGCCCAUCACUUCGGGAUAACUCCGGGAAACCGGUGCUAAUACCGAAUAUGACCACUUCAGGCAUCUGAUGGUGGUGGAAAGUUCCGGCGGUGAUGGAUGAGCUCGCGGCCUAUCAGCUUGUUGGUGGGGUAGUGGCCUACCAAGGCUUCGACGGGUAGCCGGCCUGAGAGGGUGACCGGCCACACUGGGACUGAGACACGGCCCAGACUCCUACGGGAGGCAGCAGUGGGGAAUAUUGGACAAUGGGCGAAAGCCUGAUCCAGCAACGCCGCGUGAGGGAUGACGGCCUUCGGGUUGUAAACCUCUUUCAGCAGGGACGAAGCGCAAGUGACGGUACCUGCAGAAGAAGCACCGGCCAACUACGUG